rnacentral:tRNA from 1 species
CGGGGCAUGGUGUAACGGCUAACAUACUCGCUUUGGGAGCGAGCGACUCUGGGUUCGAAUCCCAGUGCCCCGA